rnacentral:miRNA from 1 species
UGGGUACUGUAGCCUGAGUAGU